rnacentral:rRNA from 1 species
GAUGAACGCUGGCGGCAUGCUUUACACAUGCAAGUCGGACGGGAAGUGGUGUUUCCCGUGGCGGACGGGUGAGUAACGCGUAAGAACCUGCCCUUGGGAGGGGAACAACAGCUGGAAACGGCUGCUAAUACCCCGUAGGCUGAGGAGCGAAAGGAGGAAUCCGCCCAAGGAGGGGCUCGCGUCUGAUUAGCUAGGUGGUGAGGUAAUAGCUUACCAAGGCCGUGAUCAGUAGCUGGUCCGAGAGGAUGAUCAGCCACACUGGGACUGAGACAAGGACCAGACUCCUGCGGGAGGCAGCAGUGGGGAAUUUUCCGCAAUGGGCGAAAGCCUGACGGAGCAAUGCCGCGUGGAGGUAAAAGGCCUACGGGUCAUGAACUUCUUUUCCUGGAGAAGAAACAAUGACGGUAUCUGGGGAAUAAGCACCGGCUAACUCUGUG